AUUGAACGCUGGCGGCAGGCCUAACACAUGCAAGUCGAACGGUAACAGGAAACAGCUUGCUGUUUCGCUGACGAGUGGCGGACGGGUGAGUAAUGUCUGGGAAACUGCCUGAUGGAGGGGGAUAACUACUGGAAACGGUAGCUAAUACCGCAUAACGUCGCAAGACCAAAGAGGGGGACCUUCGGGCCUCUUGCCAUCGGAUGUGCCCAGAUGAGAUUAGCUAGUAGGUGGGGUAACGGCUCACCUAGGCGACGAUCCCUAGCUGGUCUGAGAGGAUGACCAGCCACACUGGAACUGAGACACGGUCCAGACUCCUACGGGAGGCAGCAGUGGGGAAUAUUGCACAAUGGGCGCAAGCCUGAUGCAGCCAUGCCGCGUGUAUGAAGAAGGCCUUCGGGUUGUAAAGUACUUUCAGCGGGGAGGAAGGGAGUAAAGUUAAUACCUUUGCUCAUUGACGUUACCCGCAGAAGAAGCACCGGCUAACUCCGUGCCAGCAGCCGCGGUAAUACGGAGGGUGCAAGCGUUAAUCGGAAUUACUGGGCGUAAAGCGCACGCAGGCGGUUUGUUAAGUCAGAUGUGAAAUCCCCGGGCUCAACCUGGGAACUGCAUCUGAUACUGGCAAGCUUGAGUCUCGUAGAGGGGGGUAGAAUUCCAGGUGUAGCGGUGAAAUGCGUAGAGAUCUGGAGGAAUACCGGUGGCGAAGGCGGCCCCCUGGACGAAGACUGACGCUCAGGUGCGAAAGCGUGGGGAGCAAACAGG
rnacentral:rRNA from 1 species